rnacentral:rRNA from 1 species
UACAGAGGGUGCGAGCGUUGUCCGGAAUCACUGGGCGUAAAGGGCGCGUAGGCGGCUCGGUAAGGUUGCGGUGAAAGCCCGGGGCUCAACCCCGGGUCGGCCGUGGCAACUGCUGGGCUCGAGCACUGUAGAGGCAGGUGGAAUUCCGGGUGUAGUGGUGGAAUACGUAGAUAUCCGGAGGAACACCAGCGGCGAAGGCGGCUUUCUGGUCUGAUACUGACGCUGAGGCGCGAAAGCGUGGGGAGCGAUCCGG